rnacentral:rRNA from 1 species
CUGGCUCAGGAUGAACGCUAGCUACAGGCUUAACACAUGCAAGUCGAGGGGCAGCAUUGGGAUAGCUUGCUAUUCAGAUGGCGACCGGCGCACGGGUGAGUAACGCGUAUCCAACCUCCUGCCAGUAGGGAACAGCCCGGCGAAGGUCGGAUUAAUGCCCUAUGUUCUUCAAUGCGGACAUCUAAGUUGAAGGAAAGAUUCAUCGCUGGCAGAUGGGGAUGCGUCCGAUUAGCUUGCCGGCGGGGUAACGGCCCACCGGGGCGACGAUCGGUAGGGGUUCUGAGAGGAAGGUCCCCCACACUGGUACUGAGACACGGACCAGACUCCUACGGGAGGCAGCAGUGAGGAAUAUUGGUCAAUGGGCGUAAGCCUGAACCAGCCAAGUAGCGUGCAAGGAUGACGGCCCUACGGGUUGUAAACUGCUUUUAUGCGGGGAUAAAGUGCGGCACGUGUGCCGCUUUGCAGGUACCGCAUGAAUAAGGACCGGCUAAUUCCGUGCCAGCCGCGGC